UAUUUUCCAUUUCCGCUCCCUACAGCUUUCCUCCUCCUCCUUUGCUUCCCCUUCGUCUCGAUUCCAUGGCUUCCGCUUCUCUCUUGGGAAGUUCAUACCUUCAACACCGCCCAUUCUUUGAAGCACGCAACGGUUCCGAGGUCUCGGUUCCCAUCCAUGAAACCCGAAACCCCUUAAAACCCCAAUGCUCUUCGACGCCGGAGUCGUCUUGUUCCAUAGUUCUUCCACUCCUUUCCUUCGAAUCGGUGAUGCUCUAGCUUCUCUUUAUGUGCACUCCAAGGGGAAAACGUUGCUUGCUUUUCUAUAAAAAUCCUUCCUUUUCCGGGUCCAAUUGCUUAAAUUAGGUUGUAUUUUUUAUUUUGAUUUUAACCAUGUCAACCAAGUUUCGCGUGCUUUAUAUAAUGGUAUAGUAAUUGGAUUCAGAUUUCAGAUGCGUCUAGUUAACCUUUCUUGAAAACUGAACUAAAAUUACUGGUUAAAUGAUAACAAGUGUUAAUAUUAAAUGUUUUGCUGUAGAUCUCUAUACUGCUAUCCUUUUUUCCUCUUAUAUUUUUCUCUUAGCUUAUCAUGUACCAUUGGAUGUUGUAAUCUCUUUGAGAUCGAGCUCAUUUGAUUGGUCUAGAAGAAUCUAUUUUAACAAAUCAUUAGAGGAAAUAGAAAAAGGGAAUCUGCUUUUGCUGUGAUGUUGUCAAUUAUUAAGACUUCUGGCUUAGCGCUUACAUGAGCAGAGGAAGAGUUUUAAGUUGAUGAUAAGGGUAAUUCGUCAAAGAUUGUGAUGAAAGAUGUGCACUGCUUUUACAUAAUCUUUGCUUUAGACUACAUGUUGGAAGAAUCAGUUGUUGACUAGAAUUAGGGUAGGAUUCUAGGAAUUCAGCGUUUGACCUAGAGAACGCUUUUAAAAACACCAAUGAGGUUAAAAACACCAAUGAGGUUUUCUUGUUAGAUACUUUCCCUUUUACUUUUUUUAUAAACAAAUCAUGGUGGGAACAAUAUUGAUAAUUAUUUCAUAAAAAUGAUGAAAGGAUUAGGAUGCUAAAAGUUGAAUACCACUUGCACUGGACCUCCCGGAGACAGAGCAAGUGAUGGAACUAAAUGCUAGGGCAUACCCUGUCUUCUUGUUGUAGUAUGUUGUUAUGACAAAUGAGAUUUGGGCCCAAGUAGAUGGGUGAGUGUUUAAAUGCAUCAAGUUUACCUCUUUACACUUUCUCGUUCAUGACCCACCAAAAGGUUUUCUCCAUAUCAGUAAGGGUUUGAGGAAAGAAGAUGACCUGCAUCUGCCUCUCUUUACCCAGAUUAUGGAAGUAUUCACUGAGGUGCAUCAGAAGCUUUUGAGGAAUACUUUCUUAAAAAAAUUUUAACAGAGGGAGAUACACUUGCCAACACACAUUAUGUUGAUGAUUGGUCGAUAUCUUCUUUACCGUCCGCUCCUUGGUCAUAGGAUUUUAUAUCUAUACAAAUUCAAUUUCCUAUCUUUUUGUGGAUUGAUGUCUAGAUGUGUAUAAUGAGAAAUAUUAGUUGGACAAACCAAGGAUAAUAAGAACAGUUGUGAUUAAAAUGCUCCAGAGGAGUAAUGGAAGUCCAUGUAGAUACCUCAAUUAUCUGAACGUUUUUUCUGUCAAAUGUAUGUUAUAACAAGAUCUUCAAUCUUCUUAAGCUAACACUGCUCACAAAUGCGUUCUCCUUUUUUAUUUAAAAUUCCCAGUCUUUUUAAAUCUUGCUGAGGGAGAUAUCAUUAUUAUCUUUCCAAUUUGUUGACUUCUAUAAUGAACAAGUAACUUUGAGCCUCUGCAAAUCAUAAAUUUGCAUUCUCUUAUGCCCAUGAGCCAAUGAGUCUUUGUGAUGCUUCCCAUCUUUUCUCUCUCCAGAAAUUUUUAACUUAUGCUACAUCAGUACUAGUGAUUUUCAUUUCUUUUGUUUGAUUAAAAUUUCCCGUUAGCUUGUUUCAGUUCUUGCAGUAGAAGGUUCCACUUAUGCAAGAUACAGAGCUUCUUUUGUAGCUAGAAAAUCCUUUUCACGAGCCCCUCUAAUAAUCUGCUAAUUGACUCACAUACAUGGAGCAAACUGAUACCUCUUUAAAUGCAAAUUCUUCUUAAUGUGUAUGCCAUGCUAUUUUUUUUUCAGUGGACCAUCUUGUAGGAGUAAACUGUAUCGCCUUCUAUAAUUAGUUAAUGUAUCGAUCUCAGUUGCCAGUUAUGGCCAAGACUCAAAUCACAUGCUUAUAAUAUUCCUCUGGGUUUGGCGUCUGAGUGGGCUGGUGAAUGCUUGCAUUCAAAGCAUUUUCCAUCUUUCUUCACUCAGUCUUUUAGUUCCACUUUUAUGUGAUAGGUUUUAUAGCUAGGACUUCUAUUUAUUUUUAAUUCUUCACUCUCUCAGACUUAGAGGUAUUAUAACCAUAAGCAACAAAACUUAUCUCACAUUUUAAAUUCUUGACUAGGACUUCCUAUUUAUAGCUACAUCUGCUAUCAGCAUAAGCUUAUUGAAAUACCAUGUUACAAUGCCUAUCCAGGUUAUUUUACAUAUCUUACUUUGUAUGAUUCAUCCUCUGAAACAAAUCAGAGUCCAUCUUCCUAUGUCUUUUCAUAUAUGCUUUGCACAUGCCCAUAUCAUCUCAGUUAGUCCUUUGCCUUUGUAUUGCAAUUGGUGCGGUCCUUAUGUUUCCUCUACUCCUUUUAUGCAUCCUUUCCUAGUUAGCCCACAUGAAACACAACAUUUAGAACCAGAAUUACAUUUUAGUCGCUCAAUCUCUAGGUUAGCAUAUAUACUUGUCGCUAGACAUAAGAUCUUCCUCUUUUUAUAAUGUGCAUCGUAUAAUUGCCCAUGAGAAACUAACCACAGCACCUGGAUUCCAGAUCUGUAUACCAUUCACCUCUUCUGGCACAUGAUCUAAUAUCCCUUCUUUUUUGAUUAUUCUAUGGGCAUGCAGCUUUAGUGCUGCUUCUUUGUUUCCUGCCAAUAAAGGGUCCUGAAUUCUAUCUGGAGGCAGUCUUGCUCAUCUCACUAAUUAAAUAUAUACAUCAUUACUAGAAUGCUCAUCAUCCAUGUCUUCAGUUCUUCAAUAUCAACCUUCUGUUCACUUAUGGCCUCUGUUGUUCUAAUAUAUAAGUUGGGAACCACAGAACCCAAUGUGUUGUUUACAUGCAUUUUUGAUUAUUAGAAUGAUGACACAGGCAUAGUUUACACACCUUGCUUUCAUAGGCGCGAUAUAUGUGCUUCUAUGUAACAAUUACAAACUUAUAUCUUGGUUGAUCAUAAUACAAUGGACAUAAAUCUGUGCAAUUGCAGCCCUUUAUGGUGUCUGAAUGUGUCCACAUCUAUAAGAAAGCAGUACAAGGUAUCAACUUUUGCAAGUUUGACUCUUUCAGGUGAAGCGAAGUAUAUUUAUUGAAAUUAAUUCACUUGUUUCCUUUAUUUUAAUCUGUGGAAAGAUAAAAUAGAAACUUAUUCUUGUCGAUUAUGUUAUUUGUUAUGUGAGAUUCUGUUUAAUUGAAACUUGUCUAAUAUGUGUCAAUAAUGUAAGUUAACAUCUUUGAUGAUAUCCCUUUUGCUGUGCUGGAAAAGUGAGAACCUGUAAACUGAAUAUUGCUUCUUCUAAGGGAAACUUAUGUCACGAAAAGUAGAUAUUUUAAUCUUUUAGUUGCGAUUAUUUAAGUCCACAUUUUCUGUUUUGUAAUUGACCUUGGUUGCUGAGGAUUUUUAUUUUGUUGGAGGCAAAAGACUGGUGCUUUCUCUUGGUCUGGGGGUCUAGGAGCUUGUUGGCAUACAACCCUUUGCUUCUUGUUACCUGUCCUUUAUGGGUUCUUUUUUCAUCUUUUCUUUUUAAGUUAUUUUGGGCUUGAAGGGCUGUAUGUGUUUGGGCCGGUUUUUGGGACCUCUCUUCUGCUGCUCUCCGUCAUCUCCUUUAUUUCCUUUCUUUUUUCCCCCUGUUUCCUUUCUAUCAUUUCUUUUUCUUAAUGAAAUAUUGAUGACAACAUCACCAACAUGGGAGAGGUCCCGUGUUAAAUUCCAGCUGCUGGUAUAUCGGCCAUAUUCUUUUGAGAAAAAAGGGAGAAGGAAAAAACCUUCAACAACAGCAAAGUUUGAUUGGGAGCUGAAGUCACCUACAGGGAAAGAGCAAAAGCAGUAACUCAGGGACAGCAAGAUGCUAUUGCUUUGUUGCAGGUUGAUGCCUUUGUUCUUUCCUUCAGGUUCAUAUUUACACUUUUUGUGUUUCUCUUUUGACUGUUUCAUUGCAUCAAGCUCCUUAGGAGUACUCGAGAAGUAGCAAUCGUCCGAGGUGGCGAACAAUCAGAGAGAGAACAAAAUCCAGGCCUAGCACAGCAGGUUAUGUGGACGACUGUGAUGCAAUUAUAUCUUUCUAAGGAACCUGUUAAUUCAUACACUGCAAAGAUGAACUGAAUUAUCAACAACAACUAUUUCUUCAUGCUCUCUUGCGGUAUCAAUUUUAAUUUUUUGUGAUUAUAGAGAAUGUGCUAAUGUAUAAGCCCUUCUUGUUCGAGUCACAGUUCAGUUUGGAGGUUCCUGCAGGUCGAGAACUGCACGAUCUAACAUGAACAGAUCCAUGUGAAUUGUGCCUUCCUUGAUGCCCAUGCAGACAUGAUUCCCCUAGCCUUGGGGUCGAAUCAAUGGUACCUUAUGGCAUGCAUUGUGAGGUAGUUAAUUUGCAUGAAUCUGCAACCUAAACCAUGAUCUGUUAGUUGUCCCGGUGACAAGCUGAUGGUGCCUCUAGUUACUCCUUGCGGAGACCAACAUACAACUAGCAAAUGGGACACACGUCCUAGGGGAGAUGCACCGCCAGACUCUGUAUUUUUAUAGUAGAUUUCGAGGAGAUGCACCGCCAGAGUCUGUAUUUUUAUAGUAGAUUUCAGAGAGUUUGAGAAUGGGAGGUAUUGCACCACUGUUGGGCAUUAAUAUUUCAGUCCAUGAAUUUUUUUUCUUCUCCCCCUCUCCAAGUCUAUGAAUCUCUUAGCUUAUAGAGUCUGAUUGGCAUUGGAUUGGAAAAAGAAUGUGUAUUUUAAUUUUCACCAAGGCUUCUUGUUCAAAUGAGUGCCUAUAAAGCUGGUCUAAAACGAAUUGAUCUGA